GGCCCCAGUGAUCUUCACUCCACAGCUCAUAGUAAAGUGUGUUCCCCAGUUUGAGACCAGCCUCAAGCAACGUUUAUACUUUUGCGCGUCUUAAGUAAACUGCUCGGGCUGGUAGCAGGGAGGCACAGGUAGAUAGGAUGACGGACCCCUCAUUGUUAGUAGCAAGCAGACCGUCAGCAGAACAGCGAAGAGGAGAACCCCGCAUA